CCAACAGGGAUUGCCCCAGUUACGGCGAGUGAAGCGGCAAGAGCUCAAAUUUGAAAGCUGGCUCCUUCGGGGUCCGCAUUGUAAUUUGCAGAGGAUGCUUCGGGAGCGGUCCCCAUCUAAGUGCCCUGGAACGGGACGUCAUAGAGGGUGAGAAUCCCGUAUGGGAUGGGGUGUCCAGCGCCCGUGUGAAGCUCCUUCGACGAGUCGAGUUGUUUGGGAAUGCAGCUCUAAAUGGGUGGUAAAUUUCAUCUAAAGCUAAAUAUUGGCCGGAGACCGAUAGCGCACAAGUAGAGUGAUCGAAAGAUGAAAAGCACUUUGAAAAGAGAGUUAAAAAGCAUGUGAAAUUGUUGAAAGGGAAGCGCUU
rnacentral:rRNA from 1 species